UACGUAGGGUCCGAGCGUUGUCCGGAGUUACUGGGCGUAAAGCGCGCGCAGGCGGCCCGCGAGGUGUCACGUGAAAGCCCCGGGCUCAACUCGGGAGGGUCGUGGCAAACCGGCGGGCUUGAGGCCGGUAGAGGUGGGUGGAACUCCUGGUGGAGUGGUGAAAUGCGUAGAGAUCAGGAAGAACACCCGUGGCGAAGGCGGCCCACUGGGCCGGUACUGACGCUGGGGCGCGAAGGCGUGGGGAGCGAACGGG
rnacentral:rRNA from 1 species